UCCCAAAUCCUGGCUUCGAUCUAUCCCAAACCCUAGAAGGGUGGUUUAUUGGCUUCCCAAAUCCUCGAUUCCACUCGAUCUUGAUUUCGAGCUCCUUCUCUGCGUCAGUCUUCGAUAGAUCGACUCCGAUGGAUAAUUUGGACGAGGAGAUCACCAAGGCGCAGGAGGAACGACGGAAGAUGGAAGAUGUUGCUAUGCUCACCUCCGUCACCUUCGACUCCGACCUUUACGGCGGGGGCCCCGACCGUUUCGAGGGCUACGAGCGCUCCAUCGCCGUCAACGACGAGGAGGAGGAGCAGGACGGCGACAGCCGCGAGCUAGCUCGCCGGAUGGCCUCCUACACCGGCCCCAAGUCUCUCAAGGAGAUCCCCAGGGUGCCGGAUGGCGACGAAGAUUCGGGGUUCAAGAAGCCGCAGCGGAUCAUCGACCGGGAGGAUGACUACCGGCGCCGGAGGCUUCAGAGGAUCAUUUCACCUGAUAGGAACGAUCCAUUUGCCUCCGGGGAAGCUACGCCAGACCCCGCAGUUAGGACGUAUGCAGAUGUGAUGCGGGAGCAGGCCUUGCAGCGACAGAAAGAGGACAUUUUGAAGGAGAUAGCUAAGAAGAAGGAGGAGGAGAAGGAGAAGGCUGCUGCUGAGCCAGCCCCUACGGCGCAGAAGAGGAGGAACAGGUGGGACCAAUCCCAGGAGGCUGAUGGAGGCGCUGCCAAGAAGGCAAAGCCAAGCUCGGUGUCAUCUGACUGGGAUGCUCCCGAUUCCACCCCUGGGAUUGGGCGGUGGGAUGCAACACCGACUCCAGGGAGGGUUGCGGAUGCAACGCCCUCUAUCUCACGCAGAAACAGAUGGGAUGAAACUCCUACCCCUGGGAGACUUGCUGAUGCCGAUGCUACUCCUGCCGCAGGUGGUGUCACCCCUGGUGCUACGCCAGCUGGUAUGACAUGGGAUGCUACUCCCAAGCUUGCUGGGCUUGCAACACCAACGCCUAAGCGCCAAAGGUCAAGGUGGGAUGAGACUCCUGCAACCAUGGGCAGUGCCACGCCAUUACCUGGCGCUGUGACUCCUGCUGCAGCAUUCACUCCUGGUGUCACUCCUGUUGGUGGUGUUGAUCUUGCCACUCCGACACCUGGUGCAAUAAACCUUCGAGGUGCUAUGACUCCGGAACAGUUUAAUCUGUUGCGGUGGGAGAGGGACAUUGAAGAUAGAAAUAGGCCAUUGACAGAUGAGGAGCUCGAUGCUAUGUUUCCACAGGAAGGGUACAAGAUAUUGAAUCCUCCCGCAUCCUAUGUUCCCAUCAGGACUCCUGCAAGGAAACUCUUGGCUACACCUACUCCAAUGGGUACGCCACUUUAUUCGAUACCAGAGGAAAACCGUGGGCAACAGUUUGAUGUCCCAAAGGAGGCACCUGGGGGCUUGCCGUUCAUGAAACAAGAGGACUACCAAUACUUUGGGGCUCUACUGAAUGAAGAAGAGGAGGAACAGCUGUCUCCAGAAGAGCAGAAGGAAAGAAAGAUCAUGAAGCUAUUGCUGAAGGUGAAGAAUGGUACUCCUCCACAGAGGAAAACAGCCCUGAGACAACUUACAGAUAAGUCCAGAGAGUUCGGAGCUGGCCCACUGUUCAACAAAAUUCUGCCUUUGCUCAUGCAGCCGACACUUGAAGAUCAAGAGCGUCAUCUUCUGGUAAAAGUUAUUGACAGGAUUCUAUAUAAGUUGGAUGAGUUGGUCAGGCCUUUUGUUCAUAAGAUCCUUGUGGUUAUAGAGCCUCUUCUAAUUGAUGAGGAUUACUAUGCCCGUGUUGAAGGAAGAGAGAUAAUCUCCAACCUCAGCAAAGCAGCUGGUCUUGCAACUAUGAUUGCUGCCAUGAGGCCGGAUAUUGAUAAUAUAGAUGAGUACGUGAGGAAUACAACAGCACGAGCUUUCAGUGUUGUGGCUUCUGCUUUAGGUAUUCCUGCUUUGUUACCAUUUCUGAAGGCUGUUUGUCAGAGUAAGAAAUCUUGGCAAGCACGGCACACUGGGAUUAAGAUUGUCCAGCAGAUUGCUAUUCUCAUGGGAUGUGCUGUGCUGCCACAUCUUAGGUCUCUGGUGGAAAUUAUAGAGCAGGGUCUUAGUGAUGAGAACCAAAAGGUGAGAACAAUUACUGCCUUGUCUCUUGCAGCACUUGCAGAAGCAGCUGCUCCUUAUGGAAUUGAAAGCUUUGAUUCAGUGUUGAAGCCUCUUUGGAAGGGUAUCAGGUCUCAUCGUGGAAAGGUUCUUGCUGCCUUCCUGAAGGCGAUUGGUUUUAUUAUCCCUCUGAUGGAUGCUGUUUAUGCAAGUUACUAUACUAAAGAAGUCAUGAUUAUCCUUAUCCGUGAGUUCCAGUCACCUGAUGAAGAAAUGAAGAAGAUUGUGCUAAAAGUUGUCAAACAGUGUGUAAGUACAGAAGGGGUUGAGUCUGACUACAUCCGUAAUGAUAUUCUUCCUGAGUUUUUCAGGAAUUUCUGGGUUAGGAGGAUGGCACUGGACCGUAGGAACUACAAGCAGCUUGUGGAGACAACUGUAGAAAUUGCAAAUAAGGUUGGUGUGGCAGAUAUUGUAGGGAGAAUAGUGGAGGAUCUCAAAGAUGAGAGUGAACCUUAUAGGCGUAUGGUGAUGGAGACAAUUGAAAAAGUGGUGGCUAACUUGGGAGCAUCAGACAUCGAUGCUAGAUUAGAAGAACUUCUUAUAGAUGGGAUUUUGUAUGCCUUCCAGGAGCAGACAAGCGAUGAUGCAAAUGUUAUGCUUAAUGGAUUUGGUGCAGUGGUCAAUGCUUUGGGCCAGAAGGUCAAGCCUUAUCUUCCUCAGAUUUGUGGUACCAUAAAGUGGCGGUUGAACAACAAGAGUGCCAAAGUUAGGCAGCAAGCUGCAGACCUGAUAUCACGGAUUGCCAUCAUCAUGAAGCAGUGCAAGGAAGAACAGCUGAUGGGCCAUCUGGGUGUUGUCCUGUAUGAGUAUCUGGGAGAAGAAUACCCUGAAGUCUUAGGUUCCAUCUUGGGAGCACUUAAAGCUAUAGUCAAUGUCAUCGGUAUGACUAAGAUGACACCACCUAUUAAGGAUCUACUUCCUCGUUUGACACCAAUCUUGAAAAACAGACAUGAGAAGGUGCAGGAGAAUUGCAUUGAUCUCGUUGGUAGAAUUGCAGACCGUGGAGCUGAAUUUGUGCCAGCUAGGGAGUGGAUGAGGAUUUGUUUCGAGCUUCUUGAGAUGUUGAAGGCUCACAAGAAGGGGAUCCGAAGAGCUACAGUCAACACUUUUGGUUAUAUUGCAAAGGCAAUCGGGCCACAAGAUGUUCUUGCAACACUUUUGAACAAUUUGAAAGUUCAAGAGCGUCAAAACCGUGUGUGUACUACUGUGGCUAUUGCUAUAGUUGCUGAAACAUGCUCGCCUUUCACUGUUCUUCCAGCUCUCAUGAAUGAAUACCGUGUUCCUGAGCUGAAUGUGCAGAAUGGAGUUCUUAAAUCACUCUCUUUCCUCUUUGAGUACAUUGGUGAGAUGGGUAAAGACUACAUCUAUGCUGUUACCCCACUGUUGGAGGAUGCUUUGAUGGACAGGGAUCUGGUUCAUCGUCAGACUGCUGCUUCUGCUGUUAAGCACAUGGCUCUUGGAGUUGCUGGUUUAGGUUGUGAGGACGCACUUGUCCACUUGCUUAAUUAUGUCUGGCCCAACGUUUUCGAGACUUCUCCUCACGUUAUUAAUGCUGUGAUGGAGGCUAUUGAAGGAAUGAGGGUUGCACUUGGUGCAGCUGUCAUUCUAAAUUACUGCCUUCAGGGUCUUUUUCACCCUGCAAGGAAAGUUAGGGAGGUCUACUGGAAAAUUUACAAUUCUCUUUACAUUGGCUCCCAAGAUGCUUUAGUAGCUGGUUAUCCCACACUAGAAGAUGAUGGAAACAAUUUAUAUAGCCGACCAGAGCUUGCAAUGUUCGUCUGAAUGAUACCUAGGCCAGUUUGCAUAUGCCUUUGUUGCUGCUGAGUUGUGGUAAUAGAGGGUCUCAUGUUCAAUUACUUUUGGCUAGAGAAAUCAUCAUCGCUCAAACUCGUUUCAGCACAAUGGAGUUUACAUAGUUUCAUUUUAGUUUUUUCUUUUUCUGUGCUUUCAUAGUGUGUUGGAGAUUAUAAUAACAUCCUAAUUUGUAAUUUUAUAGGGUUCUCUACCCUGGCACCAUUUGCUUGCGAUUCGAGGAGGAAACUCUAUCAAGAACACCGAGCAACAACUUCUAGUCGGAUUUCACGUUUAUUAUGUCUGUUAAACCAGCAAUAUUACCAGGACGUUUAUUCUUGUUAUUUUUCAAGGGAAUAAACUUGUAUGUGAAAGACAUGUUCCACAGUUGUUGCCCGUGUAAAGUUAAAUGUAUAUUAGUAUUGCAACAACACUGUCAAUUUCAUUUAUUUGGCUUUGCUUCGAUA